GACUGCCUUCCAGACGAUUUCGCACAGUUCACUCGCUGUUAUGGAUAAUUUUGAUCAAUUAGGGGUGAUUGGCGUGACACCAUACGCGUUUGAACCAGUGGCCCGACAAGGAGAAACAUCUACGCCAAGUGCGAGCGCGAUCGCCAGCGCGGAAGUUGGAAUGAAGCCCGCCGGAUCCGAGGACCUCAUUGCGACAUUUACCCGCGUUGGAAGUAUCGCCUGGCAAUUGAGAUUCGCUGCAUAUCGCCAGUUUGUUUGGAUGACGUGGAAGAGGCUUGGCAGGCACCACAGACGCAUCCUGCCUAGUUGUGUUCUGUGUGCCAUUCACAAGAAAUAUCCAUCGAAGAAUGGAGUGUACACGGGAUUCAGGCAUUUCUGAGCAUUUACUCAAGACAGGCAACUGGUGUACCUCCUGUCGCUUUUGGAAAUUUGACACGCCACCUAAGAGUACCAGCCUUUGUUGAUGCCUGCUCUCUUCCGCUGUUCUCGUUGUAGUGAAGAGCCGCUAGCUGUGUUCUUAAACGAAGAAGAUUCAAGUCAGGCAAAUAGUCACAUGCAACUUGUUCAUUAAGAAAAAGGAAUUAAAAAAGUAUUCACCUUG